UGAGCAAAGAAUGAUCAUGGGCAUUGGACUGCUUCAGGCAUAGGAAAGGCUGAAGGUGACUGACUGCUUUAUGCAAUGCAUGACUACAAAUCCUGAGCUGGUUGUUUGCCACUUUUCUACUGAGAUAAACAAAACAUGCCAUUACUCAGUGCAUGUAAUUUUCCACAAUGCCAUGAACUCUGCAGGUGACAGCCUGGGCAAGGGAACAGAGCCAGUUCUCUGCACACAAGCUGAUUGGAUUUCAACAGACAGUAGUGAUAGAUGUGGAUAUUUUUCAAAGCUAUCUGUGGACUGGAGGAUUUGAAAUGUUUCUUACCUGAGGCUACCUGCCAAUAACUACUAUUCUUUGCAGCUGCAAACACCUUCAAAAUGAAAGCCAACUUCCAACCGAGCCUGAUGUUCUAACUCCAGAUUUAAGAUUGGAGUAGGGGAAACAGCUAUACAAUUGCCUUGUUCAUCUUGCUGCCGGUCUGAAUGGCUUUAUAAACCUUGGAGAUCAACCCCGACAUAAAAGAAUCUAGUUCAGCUUUAACAUAAGCUCAGCUCAGGGCUCCAAGAAUCCCAAGUCCUCUACGGUCGACGGUGGAUGUACUCCAAGCAUGAGAAUAUGUGACCACACCUACAAAGCACAAGGUGAAGGGCACUGGACCACCUUUUCCAGCAAGGAUGCAACAAGGACAGCAGAGCACAGAGAUGGAGCCAUACACCCUGGAGACCGCAGCGCCUUCCAGAUCAACCUAUACAUAGCAGCAUGGAGGUGGGAGAUCAAAAUAACUCUCUGCCCACUCUGACCACUGCUGCCAUCAUUCACAGUGCAUUGGAUGAUCCUGUCCCAGCAAUGGGGGUGAGUGGGGAGUUCAGGGCACAGAUGAUUAAAGGGGAUAGUCACCUACUGCAGACCAGCUGGAGCCCACAAGCAGCAGCUGAAGAGUCCUGGCUUAAAGCCAGCCACUGGGACAUCAGUGGGAGAUAAACUGGUUGAGUCUGGGCUGCAUGAGUCAUCCAAGGUUGGACAUCCAUGUCUUCAGAGGGAUCAAACAAGGAUAGCUGGGAGAAAAACUGAUAGUCUGUUGUGGUUUAGCCCAGCAGUCAGUGAAACACCACUCUGCCGUUUGCUCAAUCUCCUCCACUGGGACCGGGGAGAGAACUGUAUAAAAAGUAAAACUCACGGGUUGAGAUAAGACACUUUAAUGGAACAGAAAAGGAAGGGAAAAUAAUAGUAAUAAUAAUAAUAAUAGAAUAAACAAAGCAAGUGAUGAACAACGCAAUUGCUCACCACCCGCUGACUGAUGCCCAGCCAGUCCCUGAGCAGAACCCCCUAGGUGUUUUUAUUCAGUGUAACAUUAUAUGGCCUGGAGAAUCCCUUGGGUCAGUUGGGGUCUGCUGUCCUGGCUGUGUCCCCUCCCAGGUCCUUGUGCACCCCCAGCCUCCUCACUGGCAGGGUAGCAUGAGAAGCUGAAAAGUCCUUAACUUAGCAUAAACCCUGCUUGGCAACAACUAAACCAUCAGUGUUUUAUCAACAUUAUUCUCUUCCUAAAUCCAAAACACAAGCACUGUACCAACUACUAAGAAGAAAAUUAACUUAAUCCCAGCUGAAUCCAGGACCUUGCCAAAUCAGCAUCAUGCUCCCUUGCCUCAGUUUCUUCAAACUAGGGACAAUAAGACAUAUUCCUGUGAGGCCUUGUUCUGUGGAGUGGAAGUUCACAGAUGUGGUAAAAGUGUUUCUGGACACACUGUAAUUCUUUUGUCUGAGCCACAGGAAUUAAAAAGAAAGAAACGAGAGCAGUUCCUUUCUCGGAGCUGCUGUUCUGCUGUUCCUGCAUCCCCUUUGUUUUGAUUUCAGAUGUAUGGUUUGCUCUUUUUUUCAUUUUUCUUUUUUCCUGUGAUGCUAUUGGAGGCAGAAAGGAGAUUUCAUCAUCCCCCCGUGGCCGUCCUCUGUUGCAGCUCUGACCCCAC